UACGUAGGGGGCGAGCGUUGUCCGGAUUUAUUGGGCGUAAAGAGCGUGUAGGCGGCCAGGUAGGUCUGCUGUGAAAACUCGAGGCUCAACCUCGAGACGUCGGCGGAAACCAUCUGGCUAGAGUCCGGAAGAGGAGAGUGGAAUUCCUGGUGUAGCGGUGAAAUGCGCAGAUAUCAGGAAGAACACCCGUGGCGAAGGCGGCUCUCUGGGACGGUACUGACGCUGAGACGCGAAAGCGUGGGGAGCGAACAAG
rnacentral:rRNA from 1 species